GACGAACGCUGGCGGCGUGCUUAAUACAUGCAAGUCGAGCGAGGCCUUGGAAUUGGAGUCCUUCGGGAUGAAGAGUCUUUGGCCUAGCGGCGGACGGGUGAGUAACGCGUGGGCAACCUACCCCAAAGUCCGGGAUAACAGUGGGAAACCGCUGCUAAUACCGGAUGGCUUUACCUGAGGGCAUCCUUGGGUAAAGAAAGGUUACGCUUUGGGAUGGGCCCGCGUCCCAUUAGCUAGUUGGUGAGGUAACGGCUCACCAAGGCCACGAUGGGUAGCCGGCCUGAGAGGGUGAACGGCCACACUGGGACUGAGACACGGCCCAGACUCCUACGGGAGGCAGCAGUAGGGAAUAUUGCGCAAUGGGCGGAAGCCUGACGCAGCGACGCCGCGUGAGCGAAGAAGGCCUUCGGGUCGUAAAGCUCUGUCCUUGGGGAAGAAGGCGAAAGCUUGACGGUACCCAAGAAGAAAGCCCCGGCUAACUCCGUG
rnacentral:rRNA from 1 species